UUCGAAAAUCUGAACUUAAGGUUAAAAAACUGAAAUUGUGAAAUUGAAUAAAUGAGAUUAGGGGGUAGGCCAAUUUAAGUUAAUUUUGGACCAAUUUCAAGAGAUUGUGACGGGCAAUGACUAUAUAGGUGUUGUAGGGGAGACAAUGGCGUAUUGUUUAAGAAAAUCUCCAGAGUGGUUUAUGUUCGAAAAUCUGAAGUUACGGUUAAAAAACUGAAAAUUUUAUUGUGAAAUUGACAAAAUGAGAUAAGGGGGGUAGGGCACUAAAAGAAAAAUUUGGACCAUUUUAAAGAGAUUGUGACGGACAACAACUAUAUAGGUGUUGUAGAGGAGACAAUGGCGCAUCGUUUAAGAAAAUCUCCAGAGUGGUUUAUGUUCGAAAAUCUGAACUUACGGUUAAAAAACUGAAAUUGUGAAAUUGACAAAAUGAGAUUAGGGGGUAUGCCAAUUUAAGUUAAUUUUGGACCAUCUUCAAGAAAUUGUGACGGGCAACGACUAUAUAGGUGUUGUAGAGGAGACAAUGGCGCAUCGUUUAAGAAAAUCUGCAGAGUGGUUUAUGUUCGAAAAUCUGAAGUUACGGUUAAAAAACUGAAAUUGUGAAAUUGACAAAAUGAGAUUAGGGGGUAGGCCAAUUUAAGUUAAUUUUGGGCCAAUUUCAAGAGAUUGUGACGGGCAACGACUAUAUGGAUGUUGUAGAGGAGACAAUGGCGCAUCGUUUAAGAAAAUCUCCAGAGUGGUUUAUGUUCGAAAAUCUGAAGUUACGGUUAAAAAACUGAAAUUGUGAAAUUGACAAAAUGAGAUUAGGGGGGUAGGCCAAUUUAAGUUAAUUUUUGACCAAUUUCAAGAGAUUGCGACGGGCAACGACUAUAUAGGUGUUGUAGAGGAGACAAUGGCGCGUCGUUUAAGAAAAUCUGCAGAGUGGUUUAUGUUCGAAAAUCUGAAGUUACGGUUAAAAAACUGAAAAUUUUAUUGUGAAAUUGACAAAAUGAGAUUAGGGGGGCAGGGAACAUAAAGAAAAAAUUGGACCAUUUUAAAGAGAUUGUGACGGAGAACGACUAUAUAGGUGUUGUAGAGGAGACAAUGGCGCAUCGUUUAAGAAAAUCUCCAGAGUGGUUUAUGUUCGAAAAUCUGAAGUUACGAUUAAAAAACUGAAAAUUUUAUUGUGAAAUUGACAAAAUGAGAUUAGGGGGUAGGCCAAUUUAAGUUAAUUUUGGACCAAUUUCAAGAGAUUGUGACGGGCAACGACUAUAUAGGUGUUGUAGAAGAGACAAUGGCGCGUCGUUUAAGAAAAUCUCCAGAGUGGUUUAUGUUCGAAAAUCUGAAGUUACGGUUAAAAAACUGAAAAUUUUAUUGUGAAAUUGACAAAAUGAGAUUAGGGGGUAGGCCAAUUUAAGUUAAUUUUGGACCAAUUUCAAGAGAUUGUGACGGGCAACGACUAUAUAGGUGUUGUAGAGGAGACAAUGGCGCAUCGUUUAAGAAAAUCUCCAGUGUGGUUUAUGUUCGAAAAUCUGAAGUUACGAUUAAAAAACUGAAACUUUUAUUGUGAAAUUGACAAAAUGAGAUUAGGGGGGUAGGGCAAUUUAAGUUAAUUUUGGACCAAUUUCAAGAGAUUGUGACGGGCAACGACUAUAUAGGUGUUGUAGAAGAAACAAUGGCGCAUCGUUUAAGAAAAUCUCCAGAGUGGUUUAUGUUCGAAAAUCUGAAGUUACGGUUAAAAAACUGAAAAUUUUAUUGUGAAAUUGACAAAAUGAGAUUAGGGGGUAUGCCAAUUUAAGUUAAUUUUGGGCCAUCUUCAAGAGAUUGUGACGGGCAACGACUAUAUAGGUGUUGUAGAGGAAACAAUGGCGCAUCGUUUAAGAAAAUCUCCAGAGUGGUUUAUGUUCGAAAAUCUGAAGUUACGGUUAAAAAACUGAAAAUUUUAUUGUGAAAUUGACAAAAUGAGAUUAGGGGGUAGGCCAAUUUAAGUUAAUUUUGGACCAAUUUCAAGAGAUUGUGACGGGCAACGACUAUAUAGGUGUUGUAGAGGAGACAAUGGCGCAUCGUUUAAGAAAAUCUCCAGAGUGGUUUAUGUUCGAAAAUCUGAAGUUACGGUUAAAAAACUGAAAUUGUGAAAUUGACAAAAUGAGAUUAGGGGGUCGGCCAAUUUAAGUUAAUUUUGGACCAAUUUCAAGAGAUUGUGACGGGCAACGACUAUAUAGGUGUUGUAGACGAGACAAUGGCGCAUUGUUUAAGAAAAUCUCCAGAGUGGUUUAUGUUCGAAAAUCUGAAGUUACAGUUAAAAAACUGAAAUUGUGAAAUUGACAAAAUGAGAUUAGGGGGUAGGCCAAUUUAAGUUAAUUUUGGACCAAUUUCAAGAGAUUGUGACGGGCAACGACUAUAUAGGUGUUGUAGACGAGACAAUGGCGCAUUGUUUAAGAAAAUCUCCAGAGUGGUUUAUGUUCGAAAAUCUAAAGUUACAGUUAAAAAACUGAAAUUGUGAAAUUGACAAAAUGAGAUUAGGGGGUAGGCCAAUUUAAGUUAAUUUUGGACCUAUUUCAAGAGAUUGUGACGGGCAACGACUAUAUAGGUGUUGUAAAAGAGACAAUGGCGCAUUGUUUAAGAAAUAAUCCAGAGUGGUUUAUGUUCGAAAAUCUGAAGUUACGGUUAAAAAAUUGAAAAAUUUAUUGCGAAAUUGACAAAAUGAGAUUAAGGGGGUAGGGCACUAAAAGGAAAUUUUGGACCACUUCAAAGAAAUUGUGACGGGCAACGACUAUAUAGGUGUUGUAGAGGAGACAUUGGCGCAUCGUUUAAGAAAAUCUCCAGAGUGGUUUAUGUUCGAAAAUCUGAAGUCACGGUUAAAAAACUGAAAUUGCGAAAUUGACAAAAUGAGAUAAGGGGGGUAGGCCAAUUUAAGUUAAUUUUGGACCAAUUUCAAGAGAUUGUGACGGGCAACGACUAUAUAGGUGUUGUAGAGGAGACAAUGGCGCAUUGUUUAAGAAAUUAUCCAGAGUGGUUUAUGUUCGAACAUCUGAAGUUACGGUUAAAAAACUGAAAAUUUUAUUGUGAAAUUGACAAAAUGAGAUUAAGGGGGUAGGGCACUAAAAGAAAAAUUUGGACCAUUUUAAAGAGAUUGUGACGGGCAACGACUGUAUAGGUGUUGUAGAGGAGACAAUGGCGCUUCGUUUAAGAAAAUCUCCAGAGUGGUUUAUGUUCGAAAAUCUGAAGUUACGAUUAAAAAACUGAAACUUUUAAUGUGAAAUUGACAAAAUGAGAUUAGGGGGGUAGGGCAAUUUAAGUUAAUUUUGGACCAAUUUCAAGAGAUUGUGACGGACAACGACUAUAUAGGUGUUGUAGACGAGACAAUGGCGCAUCGUUUAAGAAAAUCUCCAGAGUGGUUUAUGUUCGAAAAUCUGAAGUUACAGUUAAAAAACUGAAAUUGUGAAAUUGACAAAAUGAGAUUAGGGGGUAGGCCAAUUUAAGUUAAUUUUUGACCUAUUUCAAGAGAUUGUGACGGGCAACGACUAUAUAGGUGUUGUAAAAGAGACAAUGGCGCAUCGUUUAAGAAAAUCUCCAGAGUGGUUUAUGUUCCAACAUCUGAAGUUACAGUAAAAAAACUGAAAUUGUGAAAUUGACAAAAUGAGAUUAGGGGGUAGGCCAAUUUAAGUUAAUUUUGGACAUAUUUCAAGAGAUUGUGACGGGCAACGACUAUAUAGGUGUUGUAGAGGAGACAUUGGCGCAUCG